CUUGGACUUUGUGCCGGCCACCUCACUCUGGACUGGCCUCUCCACCCACUACCCGGUGGCCUUCAGAUGGUCCUUUUUUUGCAAAACCAGGCAGAGGGUUGUGUGGCGAGCCGCCCGGAAUCUUUCUGCUGGGUAGUGUGUGUCUGCACGUGCCCCAGGCUGGCACCCCUCCGUCACCUCCCGGUCACUGCAGGCUGCCUCUGAGGAGGGCAGUACCUGCCCACAAAGGCCCACGGAGCCAUGGCUUCUUCCCAGUGGUGAUCCCUGAUGGGCUGGAAGGUGACCGAACCGCUUGUCCUUUAUAAGCUGGGCUUGCUGCUUGCCGUUGAGGAAGAGCUUGUCAUGGGUGUCAGCGUUUAAAAGUGGAAUAGACGGGGUUUCACCGUGUUGGCCAGGAUGGUCUCCAUCUCUUGACGUCGUGAUCCACCCGCCUCGGCCUCCCAAAGUGCUGGGAUUACAGGCGUGAGCCACCGCACCCGGCCGAUAUUACAAAAUCUGGCCUCCAGAGGAACCAGCGCUGCCGACUCCUUGAUUCUAACCCACUGAGGCCUAUUUUGGAUUUCUGCACCCCAGAACUGUGGGAGAGUAAAUUGUGCUGUUGAAGCCACCACAUUUGUGGUGAUCUGUUCCAGCUGCAGUAGGAAGCUCGUAUGCUUGGCAGUUCUGAUUGUGAACUCACCUUUAUGUUGGAGAUUCCUUUACACAUAAGUCCCCUUAUCCACAGCGGACAAAUUCCAUGACCCCCAGUGGAUGCCUGAAAUCGCGGAGAGUACUGAAUCCUACAUAUAAUGUGUUCUUUCCUAUAUGUAUAUGUAUAUAUCUAUAUCUAUGAUACAGUCUAAUUUAUAAAUUAGGCACAGUGAGAGAUUAACAACAAUAACUAAUAGUAAAAUAGGACAAUGAUGACAAUAUAAUGUAAUAAAAGUUUUGUGAAUAU
rnacentral:lncRNA from 1 species